rnacentral:rRNA from 1 species
AUUGAACGCUGGCGGCAGGCCUAACACAUGCAAGUCGAGCGGAUGAAGGGAGCUUGCUCCUGGAUUCAGCGGCGGACGGGUGAGUAAUGCCUAGGAAUCUGCCUGGUAGUGGGGGAUAACGUCCGGAAACGGGCGCUAAUACCGCAUACGUCCUGAGGGUGAAAGUGGGGGAUCUUCGGACCUCACGCUAUCAGAUGAGCCUAGGUCGGAUUAGCUAGUUGGUGGGGUAAAGGCCUACCAAGGCGACGAUCCGUAACUGGUCUGAGAGGAUGAUCAGUCACACUGGAACUGAGACACGGUCCAGACUCCUACGGGAGGCAGCAGUGGGGAAUAUUGGACAAUGGGCGAAAGCCUGAUCCAGCCAUGCCGCGUGUGUGAAGAAGGUCUUCGGAUUGUAAAGCACUUUAAGUUGGGAGGAAGGGCAGUAAAUUAAUACCUUGCUGUUUUGACGUUACCAACAGAAUAAGCACCGGCUAACUUCGUG